CGUCUAAUUUAAUAAGGGCAAUAUCGUUGUUUCGAGUUUCCAGGUCGUAAUCUUCGUGUACAAUUGCGGCGGAUCCCCUUAAAGUUAUCCAGUAAUGGCCCGGUUCCCAAUUACUGACAUUUCUCGCGCCAAAUAGCAGAAAGAGCAAAUGUAGGACAUGGACGGGAGAACGAUGACUUACGUGUGUUUCCGAAAACAUUGGGCGGCAGUAAGAACAUAAUUUGGUGAUAUUACCGACCCGCCACAGAACGAGUACCCACGAUCCAGAUGCUUAUGGAGGAAUAUAGCUACUUGGUAGGGAAACUGAAAGGCACUGGAAUUGGUGCCUCCCACAACCCGGAGACUGUUCUUAUCAUCUACAACUUCAGCCAUCGACAUCUAGAAAAUAUUUAGAUAUAAUUAAAAAACCAAUAGUAGGGUAUCCAUAUGGGAGAAAUAGACAAAAGGGCAAGCUUACCCAUAUCUGGAAUGAUAUCGCGAUACUCAGCACAAACAAGUUCGCAUGAGUUCGAGCCAUAAUCAUACGAGCUACACUAAUAACCUUUUCAAUGCAAAUUCUAUUAAAAUGUACGUAUAUGACGUUGAAAGUAAUUUAAGUUUUGGAUUUUUCAAGUACCAAACACUUAGAAAUUGUUAUCGCAAUCAGCAGCUACGGUAAAUAUGUACUCACUCACUUUCAAAUUUGGCAACGUACAUUAGUUUUGGUUACGGUAUCCAGAAUCGCGUCCUAGUUAAAACAAAUAUUAAUGAAGGCUUUGUAGCACAUGUUUUAGAAUAUUUUAAAGUAGAAUCCGAUUAAAGAACGUACUACCUU